AUCGUUUAAGUUCUAACACCACGUAAGUCAAAAUUAGCAACUUUACAGGAGAGCAUACAACUUACCUUUUCCAGAGGUUUGGGUUAUUAUAGAUACCGUGCAGUUGGUUUUUUGAGUUUCUGUUGGACGUUUUUAUGUUUCUGAUUGGCCGAAACAACGCGUCUCUCGAUUCUCUAGCGAAUGGCUUCGGAAUGUUAAAACCGCC